UCAAGCAAGCCGGAGAUUUCACAAGAGAAACCAGUCAAGGACUGAGACGGUGUCAGAGUACAUCGCAGAACUGAGGAAACUGGCCGAACACUGUCAUUUCAGAGACGGACUUUCAGAUGCUCUGAGGGACAGGUUCGUGUGCGGGCUGCACAACGAGAGCAUUCAGAAACGGCUUUUGACGGAGGACAAACUCACCUUGCAACGAGCAGUGGAAAUAGCUGUUUCAGCGGAGACAGCAGCAAGGGAUGCGACGGAGCUUCAAGACCAGUAUCCACUCCCUCGCAUCGAUGACAUUUUUGCAUCUCUAGCAAAUGGUGAGCACUUCACAAAGAUUGACCUCGCACAAGCAUAUCUACAGAUGGAAAUGGAUGAAAGUUCACGCAAGUACCUCACCAUAAAUACUCACAAAGGACUAUACCAAUACAACCGGCUCGUAUUUGGUAUUACAAGUGCCCCUGCGAUAUGGCAACGUGCAAUGGACCAAGUGCUACAAGGAAUCCCAGGUACUCAAUGUUACUUGGAUGAUAUUAUUGUUACUGGUUGGGACAAAGAUUCACACUUGCAAAACUUGAAUGCAGUUCUAACAAAACUGGAAGAAUAUGGUCUAAAAGCAAACAAAAAGAAAUGUGAGUUUUUCAAGGAGUCCAUUGAGUAUUGUGGACACAAAAUAGACAAGCACGGACUUCACAAAACGCAGGACAAAAUUGAAGCUGUAGUAAAAUCUCCACAACCAGAAAAUGUCAGCCAGUUACGCUCAUUUCUUGGCCUUGUUAACUAUUAUCACAAGUUUUUGCCAAACCUUUCCACUGUGCUGCACCUACUGAAUGCACUACUGCACCAAAAUGCAAAGUGGGACUGGACUAAAGACUGUGAACAGGCAUUUACAAAGGCAAAGGAACUCAUUAUUUCAGACAAGGUGCUCACACACUUUGAUCCAAAGCUUCCCCUAUGUCUAGCCUGUGACGCUUCGCCUUAUGGCAUUGGUGCAGUUCUAUCUCACAAAAUGACUGAUGGCUCUGAACACCCCAUUGCCUUUGCAUCAUGCUCUUUAUCACCAGCAGAGCAUAAUUAUGCACAGAUUGACAGAGAAGCUUUAAGCUUGGUGUGGGGUGUUAAAAAGUUUAACCAAUACCUGUAUGGAAAACACUUCAUGCUGAUUACAGAUCACCAGCCUCUUGUUUCCAUUUUCAGUCCAAAGAAAGGUGUUCCUGCUAUGGCCGCCGCUCGUUUACAACGUUGGGCUCUCUUUCUUGGAGCACACACCUAUACCAUUGAAUAUAAAGGGACAACACUACAUGGAAAUGCAGAUGGUCUCUCUCGCCUUCCUCAACCACUGACAGAGAAGGCUACUGAUCCUGCUUUAAAUCUUCACAUGCUGCAAAUGGAACCACUUCCGGUGACUUGCGCUCAAAUAAGCAAAGAAACAAGAAACGACCCUCUGCUAUCUCGAGUGUAUGACUUAACUGUUAAUGGCUGGCCAAUGCAUGCAGAUAGUGAACUU